ACGUCGUUGGGCCACGCGCGAAACAAAACACACACGUCUUAACCCAGGGGUUCGGCAGGUUUCAGUCUUUUGAUGGUGUCGAACAGUCACGCCACAAACUCGUGUAUUCAAAAAUAUUUAAGACAUCCGUGCUCACCGAUCGUUGAUGAAACGAUACACAAACUCCAUAACUAGUGAACUAAAAGUUGGAGAACACGAGAAAAGGAUGGUCACUUGUGAUGACUUGUUUUUAGUUCAAGUGCUCCCAGACAUGCCAUGUGAGAUUUCGUCCAUUUCCUUCAGCACGUCCCGGCCCACAAUUAACACAGGUACGAGAUGAAGUGGAGGGCGCGCGUAGAAACAAUCUAUUCACAUCGAUCUCCACUCGAUCAUCAAAGAGAAAAUGCGAUAGAAAUGCGUUGGAGAAGAGAGGACCCCCCUUCAAUAGUUGGACACAACCCACCACCGCCCCAACAACAAUAACAUGUGCACUGACAUGUACCAGAGUAACAGGAAAAAAAAAAGAUCUGCCAUCGUGACUUGAUGAAUUGAAACGACGACGUCGGCGCUGGUGGUUUUCUACUUCGG